CAGGUGACCCCGGUCUAACCACCGGGAUGUUCAUAACCCUUUGUUGUCCGACUCUGUUGCCUCCGGGGCGACCCUGCCUUCGGGCGGGGGCUCCGGGUGGACACUUCAAACUCUUGCGUAACUUUGCAGUCUGAGUAAACUUAAUCAAUAAAUUA
rnacentral:misc_RNA from 1 species